ensembl:lncRNA
AGGAACUACUCUGCUGUGAAGAUAAAACAUUUUUCCAUCCUUUUGCCUGAGCCACAGAAAUCUUACCUUUCAACUGGCGACACUUUCAGGAUAAAGCCUUUUUUCCCUUAGGGGAACCUCAGAGUUUAUCCUGAAGAAGACCCUGGUUCAACCCCCCCAGAUAUAGGAAAUAGCUAGGGAUUUCCUUUUCCCUCUGUCCUUAUUACUCUCCAACCCUUUAUACCUAAAUAAAUAGACAUCUUUAUUUUAAUAGAGACUUCAGUCAGACUCAAUGUGUUAGGAGGGGAACUUCAAAGAACAUCACUUAAAGAAAGGAGGAAGUGGACUUUCUGUCUUGAGAUCUUCAGGAAAAGGCUAAAUGAUUACUUGAUGGGGGUUCACCUCUGUACCCCACAACAGGCAGCAAGUUUUGACUUUGUGGGAGUAUCUCUAUCCAGCCCAUGCCAAGGAACCUGUAGAGGAGACUACACCCUGGAGAAUAAUGCAGGAGUUAUAAAGAGUUUUGUUUCAGUUGAUGGAGGACACAUUCAAAUGACAAUUUCCAGAGCCUGUCAUCUGGAAGAGAAUGGGGAAGAGUACACAAGGUAUUGAAUUACAUGGAUGUUGAGACUUGGAAAUCUUGAAGAACAUUUGCAUUGUCCUAUCUAAAAAAAAAUAAUGUUGAAUGACCCAAAGACAUGAUGAAG